rnacentral:rRNA from 1 species
GACGAACGCUGGCGGCGUGCCUAAUACAUGCAAGUAGAACGCUGAAGGAGGAGCUUGCUUCUCUGGAUGAGUUGCGAACGGGUGAGUAACGCGUAGGUAACCUGCCUGGUAGCGGGGGAUAACUAUUGGAAACGAUAGCUAAUACCGCAUAAUAGUAGAUGUUGCAUGACAUUUGCUUAAAAGGUGCAAUUGCAUCACUACCAGAUGGACCUGCGUUGUAUUAGCUAGUUGGUGGGGUAACGGCUCACCAAGGCGACGAUACAUAGCCGACCUGAGAGGGUGAUCGGCCACACUGGGACUGAGACACGGCCCAGACUCCUACGGGAGGCAGCAGUAGGGAAUCUUCGGCAAUGGACGGAAGCCUGACCGAGCAACGCCGCGUGAGUGAAGAAGGUUUUCGGAUCGUAAAGCUCUGUUGUAAGAGAAGAACGAGUGUGAGAGUGGAAAGUUCACACUGUGACGGUAUCUUACCAGAAAGGGACGGCUAACUACGUGCCAGCAGCCGCGGUAAUACGUAGGUCCCGAGCGUUGUCCGGAUUUAUUGGGCGUAAAGCGAGCGCAGGCGGUUAGAUAAGUCUGAAGUUAAAGGCUGUGGCUUAACCAUAGUACGCUUUGGAAACUGUUUAACUUGAGUGCAAGAGGGGAGAGUGGAAUUCCAUGUGUAGCGGUGAAAUGCGUAGAUAUAUGGAGGAACACCGAUGGCGAAGGCAGGUCUCUGGGCUGUAACUGACGCUGAGGAGCGAAAGCAUGGGGAGCGAACAGGAUUAGAUACCCUGGUAGUCCAUGCCGUAAACGUUGGGCACUAGGUGUGGAGACCAUUCCACGGUUUCCGCGCCGCAGCUAACGCAUUAAGUGCCCCGCCUGGGGAGUACGGCCGCAAGGCUAAAACUCAAAGGAAUUGACGGGGGCCCGCACAAGCGGCGGAGCAUGCGGAUUAAUUCGAUGCAACGCGAAGAACCUUACCAAGGCUUGACAUGUUCUCGAUCGCCGUAGAGAUACGGUUUCCCCUUUGGGGCGGGUUCACAGGUGGUGCAUGGUUGUCGUCAGCUCGUGUCGUGAGAUGUUGGGUUAAGUCCCGCAACGAGCGCAACCCUCGUUCCAUGUUGCCAGCACGUAAUGGUGGGGACUCAUGGGAGACUGCCGGGGUCAACUCGGAGGAAGGUGAGGACGACGUCAAAUCAUCAUGCCCCUUAUGUCUUGGGCUUCACGCAUGCUACAAUGGCCGGUACAAUGGGUUGCGAUACUGUGAGGUGGAGCUAAUCCCAAAAAGCCGGUCUCAGUUCGGAUUGGGGUCUGCAACUCGACCCCAUGAAGUCGGAGUCGCUAGUAAUCGCAGAUCAGCAACGCUGCGGUGAAUACGUUCCCGGGCCU